AGAGGAAGCAGUGGCUAACUCCGUGCCAGCAGCCGCGGUAAUACGGAGACUGCGAGCGUUACUCGGAUUCACUGGGCGUAAAGGGAGCGCAGGCGGAUUAGUGUGUUAGGUGUGAAAUACCGGGGCUUAACUUCGGUGCUGCGCCUAAAACUAUUAAUCUAGAGACUUGGAGGGGUAAGCGGAAUUUGUGGAGUAGCGGUAAAAUGCGUAGAUAUCACAAGGAACACCGAUGGCGAAGGCAGCUUACUGGACAAGAUCUGACGCUCAGGCUCGAAAGCGUGGGUAGCAAAAGGGAUUAGAUACCCCUGUAGUCCACGCCCUAAACGUUGUACACUAGGUCUCGGGGAAAUCAUCCUUUUCGGGGCCCAAGCUAACGCGAUAAGUGUACCGCCUGAGGACUACGACCGCAAGGUUAAAACUCAAAGAAAUUGACGGGGACCCGCACAAGCGGUGGAGCAUGUGGUUUAAUUCGAAGCAACGCGAAGAACCUUACCAGGUCUUGACAUCCAACUAACGAAGUAGAGAUACAUUAGGUGCCCUUCGGGGAAAGUAGAGACAGGUGGUGCAUGGUUGUCGUCAGCUCGUGUCGUGAGAUGUUGGGUUAAGUCCCGCAACGAGCGCAACCCUUAUCCUUAGUAGCCAGCAGUAAGAUGGGCACUCUAGGGAGACUGCCAGGGAUAACCUGGAGGAAGGUGGGGAUGACGUCAAAUCAUCAUGCCCCUUAUGAUUUGGGCUACACACGUGCUACAAUGGCGUAAACAAAGGGAAGCAAGACAGUGAUGUGGAGCAAAUCCCAAAAAUAACGUCCCAGUUCGGACUGUAGUCUGCAACCCGACUACACGAAGCUGGAAUCGCUAGUAAUCGCAGAUCAGAAUGCUG
rnacentral:rRNA from 1 species